rnacentral:rRNA from 1 species
AUUGAACGCUGGCGGCAUGCCUUACACAUGCAAGUCGAACGGUAACAGGUUAAGCUGACGAGUGGCGAACGGGUGAGUAAUGUAUCGGAACGUGCCCAGUCGUGGGGGAUAACUGCUCGAAAGAGCAGCUAAUACCGCAUACGACCUGAGGGUGAAAGCGGGGGAUCGCAAGACCUCGCGCGAUUGGAGCGGCCGAUAUCAGAUUAGGUAGUUGGUGGGGUAAAGGCCUACCAAGCCUACGAUCUGUAGCUGGUCUGAGAGGACGACAGCCACACUGGGACUGAGACACGGCCCAGACUCCUACGGGAGGCAGCAGUGGGGAAUUUUGGACAAUGGACGCAAGUCUGAUCCAGCCAUGCCGCGUGCGGGAAGAAGGCCUUCGGGUUGUAAACCGCUUUUGUCAGGGAAGAAAAGGUUCUGGUUAAUCCCUGGGACUCAUGACGGUACCUGAAGAAUAAGCACCGGCUAACUACGUGCCAGCCGCCGCCGUAACAC